rnacentral:tRNA from 1 species
GCUGGUGUGGCUCAGUGGAGAGAGCGUCAGCCUGUGGACUGAAGGAUCCCUGGUUCAAUUCCAGUCAAGGGCA